rnacentral:rRNA from 1 species
GAUUUCUGGUAUGGUGCGCCUGAUCCACGGCUGCAAAGCUGUGAGUGUCGGUGUGCGCCUGCCAUCUUUCUAGUUAACUGGACGCACUUAACUGUGCGGUCAGCGAUCUAGAUCUUUUACUUUGAAAAAAUUAGAGUGUUUAAAGCAGGCUUGCGCUAUGAAUACAUUAGCAUGGAAUAAUAAUUUAGGACUUGAUUCCUAUUUUAUUGGUUUCUAGGAGUUAAGUAAUGAUUGAUAGGGAUAGUUGGGGGUGCUAGUAUUCAUCGGCCAGAGGUGAAAUUCUUGGAUUCGAUGAAGACUAACUAAUGCGAAAGCAUU